rnacentral:rRNA from 1 species
AUGUGGGGUUCGUUGUUGGGCAGACUGGCGACAAUGGAUAUUGCGAGUUGGGACAAAACAAUGAGGGGGUUGAGGGAUAUUUAUAGGGCAGGUUGGCAGGGCUUGGGCGUGCACGAGGGCAUGUGGACGUGGAGGUCGAUCAUGGGCGAGAACAUGGGCACAUGCAAUGUGUGGAGGUUGGGGAUGGAGCUGACAAGUGGGUCUAUCCAAUUAGUUGCUAAAAUGCCUACUCUCAGCGAUUUGGGCCUUUGGGCCGCCGAUCUACCCCCUCCCCAAGGCUCUGGACAGUUCUUUCCGGGUGGGCCUUUCCCCUCUAGGUGUGGUUAUUUUGGUGGCUGUUACGCGUACCGAUCCUCCCUCCAGUCGCUGUACAUGGCCCAGGCAUUCCAGGGAAUCCCGUGUCUCUCUUUUGCCUCCUCCCGCCGCCAUCAGCGCUCCUGUGCGCCGUUGCUCCCGCUCGAUCGCCACCCUCCCGCUCGCAAUUUUCGCUCCACCGCCUGGUCAGCCCCUCAACCUCUAGCUCCAUGGCGCGCCUGCGGCUCCUUCCUCGAGCUAGCCGCCUUGCCGCCGGCUCCUAGUUCGGCUUCGUCCUCCCGCUCGAUCGCCACCCUCCCGCUCGCAAUUUUCGAUUCGCUCCACCAUCGCCUGGUCAGCCCCUCAACCCUCGAGCUCCAUCCUCCAUGGCGCGCCUCCGGCUUCUUCCUCGAGCUAGCCGCCUUGCCGCCGGCUCCUAGUUCCGCCUCGUCCUUCCCCACCCUUUUCUACGUCCUCCUCCACCCGCCUGUCCCCCCUCAGUCGCCACCCCCAGCAUUGACCAUGGGAAACCCCACGAAGCGGUGGUCGGGCGCCGUGAUUCGGCGGGAGUUCUUCAAACACUUUGGGGAACUCGAGCGGUGGUACUCUAGCCCACUUAUUUUGGUGGAAGACUUCAAAGCGCCAUUACUUCAAACAGCAAUGAACCGAUUCAAGCAGUCGUUUAUGGCAGAUCUGCCAUCUGGCGAAGGCAGCACAUUCUCCUUCAAAUGUCUUCGCAUAGGUGAUACCCUAGAGGACUUCAAUGACACACGGUACCAUUCCCUUACUGAACUCCUUGGGACUUGGCACCCGGGGGAACACAGGAGGGAAGUGAUCUUAAAUCUGCUGGAAUUUCUACAGGAGGAGUGUGGGUUAGGAAAGGAGUGCAUUUAUGCUACCUACUUUGCUGGUGAUGAAAAUUUCGAUGCUGAUACUGAGUGCAGGGAUAUUAUGUUGGAAUUUCUACCAAAAGAAAAUGUGUCCAGCUCCACUGUCAAGGGUAGCUUCUGGAAUGUUGAUGGUAGUGGCUUCGAUUGUAGUGACCUUGCGUAUGAGGCCAGGGAUCCUUGGACACGCAUAAGCCUGAAUCAUCGAACUAUCCCGCAGAUAUGGAGUCUGGUCUUUGUUCAGAUGUGUUUGCUUCAAUACUGGGCCUUAUUCAUGAGGGCAUCAGGGCAGUACUAUGCUAGUUCAAUUUACAAGGAUGGUCCGAAGAUUUUUAGCAGCAUUACAAGAGGGCACUCUGGAGCAUGCGAUCACGGAAGGGAGUAUCUCCUUAAGCUUAUCGAUAGGCGGGGGAUUGAACUCAGCGUUGAAAAACUGGGGAUACAUCAAAGCUCCUAUGCUAAGCUUGUGAAGGGAUGCAUUGAAGAGAUGGCUGAUUUCAUUCCUGAAAUUUUUCCUACUAAAGGGAAGUUAAAACAAGAGAAGUUAAACAAAAUAGUUAAAGAUGAAGUUGAUAUCCACAAAAGUACCUGGACUGAGCAUGUGCAUGUUCAGAUUGCAACCAAGAAAACCAGGGGUCAGGCAGAAGAUGAUUUAAAGCCCAGCCAUCCCACAACGUGGUACAAGAUAAGAGGGAUCAAGUUUUUGGAUCAUAACACACAUAUUGUCCACAAGGAUAGGAAUACAAAAUGCACUCUUGUUGCCUUGUGCAAUGCUCUUCUGCUUGGGGGCAAGAUAUCUUUGGGAGCAAAUAUGACCCAGAUCUCAGAGGGCCAUCUACUUCAUCUUGUCCAACAUAAUCUUUUAUGUGGCAACGAAAAAUUCGACCUUCAAAGCAGAUUGGAAUAUUCAGAUACUCAGAAAAAGGUUCUUGAUGUGCUUCCAGAACUUUCAGGAAUUUUAUCGAUAAAUGUGGAAUUUGAUAGGACAAAAAUGUUAGCUCAUGGAGGCCCUCAGCUAACACCACAAGGAUUAACACAACUGCAGAAAGAACUUAAAGAGAAGGAGCCAUGUGUCCUGUUUUGGAAUGGUUCUUUUAUUACUGCUACUAAGGUGGAAGGAGCCAUACAUCUCUUGCUUGAUGAUAUGAGUGACAAUGGUGAAGCUUUGGAGGCACUACAGAAUACCCAUCAAUCUGAUAUUUCAGUGCCCAGCACUUCUAAUACCUGUGAAGAUGACAUUCCAUUGCUCAACACCCCUAAGCGCUUUCACAAGACAAGCCAGAUUAAUUUCAAAGGCCGCCAAUUUAAUAUUAUCCAUCAAGAGUCCAAUGGCCCGUGCGGUUUAAUCGGGAUAUGCAACGUACUCUUACUUAGAGGUGUGAUAAGUCUUGAACCGAAUAUAACAAAGGUGCAGGAGGACUAUCUGAUUAGUCUUCUCCAAAUGUACCUUGAACAAAACAAGGGAGGUUUGCCAUAUUCUGAAUUGCCAAGGAAUGCACUUGAGGUUUUGUCAGUUCUUCCGGAUGGCUUAGACGUGGACGUCUCCUUCAAUAGAACUGAUUGCUUCAAGGAAACGCCAGAAAUUAUUCUGCUUCGUUAUCUUGAUGUUCCUAUAUAUCAUGGGUGGCUUCCAGAUCCUGAUGUUGUUGGGUUUGCUGCAUUAUCAUCAUAUACAUACUCUUCGCUUUCGAUUGAGGCCUCUGACGAUGCGUUUCAGAAUGUUGAUCAGGCGAGAAAGCUUUUAACAGGCUCUCAAUUUACUUCCAAUGGCCUGCGUUGCUUACACAAUGACCUGAAAGUGAAUGUACCGUGUGUCCUUUUCUGGCAUAAUCACUGCAGCACUUUAAUUAAGGUCAAAGAACACCUCUAUGUGCUAGUUACUGAUUCCUAUUAUAUAGGAACACCUGUGGUGUGGGAAACACUCACUUUGGAGGGUAGUGGUGUGCUUGUGGAUGGCGAUUUCGUUCCAGUUGCUGAAUCAAACAUAACACUUUUGGAUCAGCCCAGUACUAUGUCAGUUUACCCUCCAUUUGCCCCCCCUGAUCAACUGGUCUCUCAGGUUUCGAGUGAACGGGUUUCACCUACAACAGCUCAAUGGCCUGCAACUAAUCUCACUAGUAAUAAGGGUGAUGAUACUGAUUAUGUCGGAUCACUUGAGGAAUAUGCAAAAAUUCCUGGAAAUCAUUUUGCAGAAAAAAAGAAUCUAUCUGCUUUGGGUACAUCAUUGGAAGUUGCGGAUACAAGAAAAAUUGGCAGAAUAAUUGCAAGAGAUUUGCUGCUGCAGAUUAUAGAGGGCCAUAAAGUUAUGGUUAGCUGGAAUGGCAAAUUUGAUAGAAAAAGCAUUCUGGUCAGGUCUGGUUUUCAUACUAUGUUGACUGCUUGGAUCAACGCAGCCUAUGGUGAGUUCUCUGAUGCGGCCAUACUGAAUGAUUACACAACAUAUGUCAAUGAAGUGCUGUCUCUCUUCGAAGUAAAGGGAGUAGGAUACCCAGCAUUUUUCAAUCCCUUGAUAAAGACACUUAAAGAAGAAUCAGGUCGAGAUACUAGGUCAGAAAUUCAGUUUUCGAAUUUUUGUCACAAAGUUGAAGGCCACCUAGCCUUGAAGUUCUCCUUGGCAAGAGCGGAUUUUUUUGGUGGGAUCAAUAAGAUCCGUAAGCAUGCACCUCGGAAAGUCAGGCGGGAAUUGAGAAGAGUGUUGAGGCAGACAGUCUUGAUAGACGGGAAAGAUUGGAGGUUCGUGAUUUCUGGAAGUGGGCAUCAUCUUCUCAGAACGAUUUUAAGGCACAGAAGAGAGGGUGACAACAAUGGAGGGAAUGAAGAAGACUUUGGAUAUUUUCUAUCAUCCAUUGAUAGUGCAUCUCAAUUUGCGCGCCAGGUGAAUGAGCAUGCUGAUGAUGACCCAGAGGUAAAGGAUGAUGCUGAGGAUGGUGACAAAGAGGAAGACCUCGGAGCACUUUCAGAAUUGGAGGCUAGUGAUGACCUGAAGGAUGAUGAUAAAGAGGCAGAGCUCGGAGCUCUUUCAAACUUGGAGGCUGGUGUUGACCUGAAGGUGAAGGAUGAUGAUAAAGAGGCAGAGCUCGGAGCUCUUUCAAACUUGGAGGCUGGUGAUGACCUGAAGGUGAAGGUGAAGGAUGAUGAUAAAGAGGCAAAGCUUGUAGGACUUUCAAACUUGGAUCUAUUGUAUUCCCAUUACCUUGAGCUUCCCCUUGCCAAGGCCCAUGAACAAAUACUAACCUCUGAUGUGCAUGAUGAUUUGCAUGACUGGUUGAAUGACGUGCUUGAAUUGUUUGAGAGACCGGAGAUUAACUGA